rnacentral:rRNA from 1 species
AUUGAACGCUGGCGGCAGGCCUAACACAUGCAAGUCGAGCGGAUGAAGGGAGCUUGCUCCUGGAUUCAGCGGCGGACGGGUGAGUAAUGCCUAGGAAUCUGCCUGGUAGUGGGGGAUAACGUCCGGAAACGGGCGCUAAUACCGCAUACGUCCUGAGGGAGAAAGUGGGGGAUCUUCGGACCUCACGCUAUCAGAUUAGCCUAGGUCGGAUUAGCUAGUUGGUGGGGUAACGGCCUACCAAGGCGACGAUCCGUAACUGGUCUGAGAGGAUGAUCAGUCACACUGGAACUGAGACACGGUACAGACUCCGACGGGAGGCCGCAGUGGGGAAUAUUGGACAAUGGGCGAAAGCCUGAUCCAGCCAUGCCGCGUGUGGGAAGAAGGUCUUCGGAUUGUAAAGCACUUUAAGUUGGGAGGAAGGGCAGUAAGUUAAUACCUUGCUGUUUUGACGUUACCAACAGAAUAAGCACCGGCUAACUUCGUG